rnacentral:tRNA from 1 species
GGUUCUAUGGUGUAAUGGUUAGCAUGCUGGACUCUGAGUCCAGCAGUCUGAGUUCAAAUCUCGGUAGGACAU